rnacentral:rRNA from 1 species
AUACGGAGGAUCCGAGCGUUAUCCGGAUUUAUUGGGUUUAAAGGGAGCGUAGGUGGAUUGUUAAGUCAGUUGUGAAAGUUUGCGGCUCAACCGUAAAAUUGCAGUUGAAACUGGCAGUCUUGAGUACAGUAGAGGUGGGCGGAAUUCGUGGUGUAGCGGUGAAAUGCUUAGAUAUCACGAAGAACUCCGAUUGCGAAGGCAGCUCACUAGACUGUUACUGACACUGAUGCUCGAAAGUGUGGGUAUCAAACAGGAUUAGAUACCCUGGUAGUCCACACAGUAAACGAUGAAUACUCGCUGUUUGCGAUAUACAGUAAGCGGCCAAGCGAAAGCAUUAAGUAUUCCACCUGGGGGGUACGCCGGCAACGGUGAAACUCAAAGGAAUUGACGGGG